rnacentral:misc_RNA from 1 species
ACUAUAUCCACUUACACCUGUGAACUGUUCUACUACUUGACGCAAGUCGAGUAUUUUUACAAACAAUGUGUAAUGAACGUCGUUUUAUUAUAACAAAAUAAAACUUUCAACAACGGAUCUCUUGGCUCUCGCAUCGAUGAAGAACGCAGNGAA